rnacentral:rRNA from 1 species
AUACGGAGGGUGCAAGCGUUACUCGGAAUCACUGGGCGUAAAGCGCGCGCAGGCGGCUUGAUAAGUUGGAUGUGAAAGCCUACGGCUCAACCGUAGAACUGCAUCCAAAACUGUCAGGCUAGAGUGUGGGAGAGGAAGAUGGAAUUAGUUGUGUAGGGGUAAAAUCCGUAGAGAUAACUAGGAAUACCAAAAGCGAAGGCAAUCUUCUGGAACACUACUGACGCUGAGGCGCGGAGGCGUGGGGAGCAAACAGGAUUAGAAACCCGAGUAGUCC